ACUCCAAGGAUCACAGUGCUGUCCACCAGUCGCACCCAGACAGAAGCCCGGAUGCCAGAAAAUCCAAAGGACCCCUGCAGAGAGUGCCGGAACCACACCCAGCCCCCCAGGGUCUACCUGCUGCACCCUCCCCUGCAGGGCCUGUGGCUCCAGGCUCAGGCCACCUUCACCUGCCUGGCGGUGGGAGGCGACCUGCAGGCAGCCCGCUUGUCCUGGGAGGUGGAUGGGAAGCCCCACAGCGGGCACACGGAGGAGGAGCCCAAAGAGCACACCAACGGGUCCUGGAGCCAGAGCAGCCACCUGCCCCUGUCCAGGGCCUUGUGGGCCAAUGGGACGUCCGUCACCUGCACGCUGAGUGGCCCUGGCCUGCAGUCCCCGGUGACUCUGGCAGCACAGAGAGAACACGAGGCCUUGGCGCCCAGCAAGCCUGCCAUCCGCGUCCUGACGGCGCCCAGUCCACUGCCCGCUGCCGAGGCAGCCACCUGGCUGCUGUGCGAGGUGUCCAACUUCUCACCGCUGGGCAUCCUCCUCGCCUGGCUGGAGGGGCAGCGCGAGGUGGACCCUUCUUGGUCCGCCACGGCGCGCCCCGCAGCCCAGCCUGGGAACUCCUCGUUCCGCACCUGGAGCGUCCUGCGCGUCCCCGCCUUCCCGGGCCGUGCGGCUGCCACCUACACCUGUGUGGUCAGGCACGAGGCCUCCCGGACGCUGCUCAGCGCCAGCUGGAACCUGGACACUGGUGGUCUGGCCACCCUGCCCCCGCGGAGCCAGGACGAGAGCGGUGACGACUACUCAGAGCUGGAGGACACGAGCCGCCUGUGGCUCACCUUCGUGGCCCUCUUCCUUGUCACUCUGCUCUACGGCGGCUUCGUCACCUUCAUCAAGGUGAAGUAGUCCCAGAGAGCUGGUGCCGGCACUGCAGCAGGGGAAGCUUGGCCUCCACGCCGCCCACUGCUGCCAGAGGGCAGGACUCCACCCUGUGCACAGAGGCCUCCAGCCCCACCCCUGACCCCCACUCACUCUCCUCUGCCCACGGCAGAGCCCAGCCCCCGACACAGAGAGGAGGGCAUCAUGAUACAGGGAGGUGGGUGGCUCCCCCAGCUGGCCCUGAGCCAGCGGUCCUGACUGUGGCCCCCUUACCUUCCCGCCCACCGUCCAGCCCCAUAAACAGCUUUGGCUCACG